rnacentral:lncRNA from 1 species
GACCUGAGUUGGGAAUAAAGAUUCAUUGUCAACAUAUAAAUAAUAAUUAAAGACAUGGAGAUGGAUGAAAUGGCCUGGAGGGAGUGAAUAGACUUAGAAGAAAGCUUAUGACAGACUCUGGAGGAACUAGCAACAGUCAAGGGUCAAGAAGAGGAGGAGGAACCAGCAAAGACCAGCGUAGACUGCCCUAAGAGGUAGGAGGAAAAACAGGUCAGGUGAGUGUGACACCGAGGAAGCCUAAGAAGAGAGCUUUCAAGAAGAAAGGAUGGACAGCAGUUUCAAAUACUGUCAAGAAAGGUGGAAGUAUAUGACAGAACUACCAGCCAACGUCAGGAAUGCUGUUGGUUAUGAAGCAAGAACUUCGUAGAAAAAGUUUAAUCCACACUGAGACAAAUCAUCAGCCUCCACCCUCUGCUCUCUCACCUGCACACCUGCCAUGAUUUCAGCAAGCAUCUAUGGAUUCACCCGUAUCUGAUCCUCAUUAAAUAUAAUUGCUAAGUAUAAUGAGUCUUCAACUCUCAGAGUGAUAAUCUCUCUACAGUGUGAAUUUCCUUGAAUGAUAUGAGAUCAAUGGAAUCGAAUGCAAUUUUUUUUCUUUCAACAAAUACUGACCAC